GAUCUGUUAUACUGUGGAGCUCUAAUUAGUUGUUUUUUAAGCCUUUCAGUUUCAAAGUUGCGGCUUUAGUCCUUUGUAUGUUAAGCAGCUUAAGCUGAUGAAGACAAAGCAAAAGGAAAUAAGAAAAAUCCCAUUUUUCUGCAACUUUUAAAGCUUUUAUCUUUAGAUUCUAUCCCCCCCUUUUUUUAAAGAUGAACCCAUUUCAGCUCUUGUUCUCUUGAACCCUAAAGUAAAGUUUGUUCCUUGAUCUACUUUUGUAUGUUGGUCAGAACAUGCAUUGUAAAGAUUGUGCGAAGUGGGAUCACAUUUAGCAGAUUUCAUUCAGUGCAGAUACAGAAGAUCUACAUGAUGACGGAUUUAAGGGGUCACAUGAUGAGCUCGACAUUUUUAUGAAUGUUUUCUUUGGAAAUGAUGGUGGCAGCACAAUGUGAUGAAUUGAGAUAGUUUAAGGAAUUAGAGAAGAAGAAAGCGUAGAGAAAAGAGUAGAAUAGAGAUACAGAAAUAAGAUUUCAUUCAAAAAUAUGUCUGAUUGCCUUUACACAGUAUUGGGCCCCCAACUGGGCUGACUGCUUGCUCUUGGACUCAGCUCUCCUGAUGGGUAAUUCUCUCCUUGUGCUUCUCACGUGAUCAUUAAUCAGGUAACUCAUCCCCAAUUCAUUAUCAAUCCCUAACCCUUGAUUUCCAUUUCCCCCAAUUUCCUCUUUGUCUCCUUCGCUUCUUCUCUCUUCUCUCUCGAUCGUGACAAUACCCACCGCUGGAGACGAUCCUUGUCCCCAAGGAUCAAAGCCUGGAAACUGGCCACGAAGGACAGUAUAAUCCUCCCAAGUAUCGUGUGUUUCGUCAAGGAGGAUCCGUAGAGGAAACGACAGAGUCUCCAAUAUGUUUCUUCAAAAGACUGACAUGAAAGACAUGAUGCAACCUCGAUGUCUCAGGGCUAAUGUCGUCUGUCGAUAAGGUUGCAGCUUCAGGUAUUGGGCCCCCAACUGGGCUGACUGCUUGCUCUUGGACUCAGCUCUCCUGAUGGGUAAUUCUCUCUUUGUGCUUCUCACGUGAUCAUUAAUCAGGUAACUCAUCCCCAAUUCAUUAUCAAUCCCUAACCCUUGAUUUUCAUUUCCCCCAAUUUCCUCUUCGUCUCCUUUGCUUCUUCUCUCUUCUCUCUCGAUCGUGACACACAAGUAAAAAGCAUCUUAAUUUUGAAUCUGAGCAAAGCAAGAAAUUAGAUAUAUCACAGUGUUCUAAUAGUGCAAACUCAGCUGUAACAAGCUGGUCUUGCUCAAAAAAAUUAUGCCAGGAGGUUAAUAAUGCAGGAAUUGAGAGUUGUGGUGGAGUUUCUGCUUUAGGUAGCUUUCCCGAAAGAUUUAGUCUGGCAGAGACAGAUGACUUGAAUGGGAGUGUCAAGCGAAUGAAGUUUUCGGCGGCUGAAGUUUCUUGGGGUAAAGCAGAAAGGCGAACGAUUUUGAAUGCACCAUUGCGGCAGAACACAAUUAUUACUGGUUUGUCUUCAACACCUAUGGAUUCUAUUUGCCAAACAGUUAUGGUCCCUUUAGUUGAAUCAUCUGCUAAGGGGGUUACAUCUAGUUGCUGUCUGUUGAAGCGGCAUGUGGGAAAGGGCAGAGGUAAAGCUACAGCUUCACCUGUUUUGCAGGAGAGUUUUGCAUCAAAGCUUGUGGUUUCUAGUCCGGCCACUGGCAUGGAGAAGUUCGAGUCUCCUUUAUAUGCGGAGGAAAAACUUAGUGGAUUUCAAUCAUCUGGAGCGGAGGGUUGUAUUUUUCUGGGGCACUGGGCUCUAAGAAGGAUCCUCGUCCUCUUCUUCAGCGACCUGUUUUUCACAUACUAAAACAGGCUGGUCUAUUGAGAGACUGCAGGACUUAUGUGGAACCAGUUUAUAGAUCACCUGAGGGGAGGCUAUUUCGUGAAUUCCCUAAUGUUUGGAGGUUUUUUGGCCAGGUUCAGUUGGUUGAUAGGCACAUGGAUAAUUAUGGUAAGAAAUGGACUGAUAUUGAUCAGUUCUGGUCUGAUCUAUUAGAUAUGUUGACGAGCAUUGAGAAAGAAUUUAACCAAUCUCAUACAUUGGCCCAUUAUUGGACUAUAUUAGACCCCUUUGUAAAUGUUGUAUUCGUUAACAGGAAGAUUGGUUCAUUAAGAAAGGGAGAUGAGGUUAAAGCAACGAGCAGUUAGCUAUUCAAAAGAACAAGAAAACUGAUGCUGUUUUAGCACGGAGAAAAAACAUUACUAAAACAAAAGUUCUGUUCUCAGGGUCAUAUGCCAACUCAGCUUUGUGAUUAUUCUCUGGCUGCUGAAAGCUCAUUGACAGCUUCUGUGAGGAGUUACGAUACCUGUAACGGGCUAUCUGGCAAUGGAAGUUUGUCAAAAUUC